rnacentral:misc_RNA from 1 species
AAUAGUGAUUGAGAACAAGAAAGUAUGCAAGCGCGAAUGCGAGGAAGAAAAGGACGUAUACGAGAAAAAGACAGUGAAAUGAAUAGAGGUUAAAGAACGCGUCGAGGAGAAUCGCGGAACAUCGACGUAGUUCUUGACAGUGGACAUAAACAUACCAGUUCGUAUUCAAUUAAUUAAAAAUAUUAGAAGUUGCACGAUCUAUGGUUACAUAAAAUUAAAUUAUUUAAUUUUUAACGAGUACUAUAGAUGACGUUGAUGGCGUUUCUCAACAACUGCUGAUGGGUCCCAUUUAUAACUACUCUGACACUGUGACACCCUCUCUUGGGGUUAUCAUUUCUUUUUUCGUAUUGCGAUUACAUCACGCAAAAGGAUGUGUAUGUGUUUUAUAUGAUAUAUAUAUUUUUUUUAUAUGAAAUAUUUU